AGAGUGACGGGGGGAUUCCAAGUGCCUACGCUCAGCGUAGGCUGUUCAGAUGCCUAAAAAGCAUCUGGAGUAAGGGCUGGGUAAGACGGGUGCCAUCUGCAGUGGUAGCGAAAGAUUUGGCUUGCUACUGCAAGGCAUAAGCCGCCGCGGUAAUACCCGCAGCUCGAGUAGUAGUCGAUUUUAUUGGGCCUAAAGCGUCCGUAUCCGGUCUGGUAAAUGCUUGGGUAAAUCGUCUGGCUUAACCAGACGAAUUCCGGGUAGACUACCAGACUUGGGACCGGUUGAGGAAGAGGGUACUUCAGGGGUAGGAGUGAAAUCCUGUAAUCCUUGAAGGACCACCAGUGGCGAAGGCGUUCUUCUAGGACGGGUCCGACGGUGAGGGACGAAAGCCAGGGGAGCAAACCGGAUUAGAUACCCGGGUAGUCCUGGCCGUAAACGAUGUGGGCUUGGCAUUGGGGGUUCUACGUGAGCGCCCAGUGUCGUAG
rnacentral:rRNA from 1 species